rnacentral:rRNA from 1 species
CCUACGGGAGGCAGCAGUGGGGAAUAUUGCACAAUGGGCGAAACCCUGAUGCAGCGACGCCGCGUGAGGGAAGAAGUACUUCGGUAUGUAAACUUCUAUCAGCAGGGAAGAAAAUGACGGUACCUGACUACGAAGCCCCGGCUAACUACGUGCCAGCAUCCGCUGUCAUACUUCGGGGGCAAGCGUUAUCCGGAUUUACUGGGUGUAAAGGGAGCGUAGGCGGUUUAGCAAGUCAGAAGUGAAAGCCCGGGGAUCAACUCCGGGACUGCUUUUGACACUGUUGAACUAGAUUGCAGGAGAGGUAAGUGGAAUUCCUAGUGUAGCGGUGAAAUGCGUAGAUAUUAGGAGGAACACCAGUGGCGAAGGCGGCUUACUGGACUGUAAAUGACGCUGAGGCACGAAAGCGUGGGGAGCAAACAGGAUUAGAUACCCCAGUAGUC